GUGGAAAUGAAGCUUCAGCCAAAAAGCAGGAAAAGAAGGAAGGAAGGAAGGGAAAGAGGAAGCAAAGAAGGAAGGAAAAAAAAUGGAGUCUCGCUCUGUCCCCCAGGCUGGAGUGCAAUGGCGUCAUCUUGGCUCACUGUAACCUCGGCCUCCCAGAUUCAAGUGAUUCUUCUGCCUCAGCCUCCCAAGAAACUUGAAGCUUGGCUAUACCUGGCAGGUUCAGUUCUUCUAAUUCAAUCACCGAGCGUCUGCUGCUAUAAUAGUCCUUCAUCAGCUUCUGUAGGUCUUCAG